CCCUUUCGCUCCGUCUGGGUCGCUUUGCUGCGUGUCGUGUGUAAUCCCCACGCUGAAGGGACCGUUAGGCCCGCAUUUGUGAGCGGCCAAGAUGCGGGAGACACGGGGCCGUUGCGACGCAGGCCGCUGGCCGUCCGCACCGCAGGAGCGUGGUGAGGGCGAGCACAGGCUAUGGCCGCCGCUGGUCAUUAGCACCGCAGGAGUAUGGUGAGGGCUAGCACAGGCUACGCCUCUGGUCAUUAGCACCGCAGGAGCGUGGUGAGGGCUAGGACGCAGGCCACGGCCAUGUGAAGCCGAUCCCGGGGUUAGGCGGCGCCACGCCGAGGACCGCCACUGUUUGAUCGGAUGGUAACCUGAAUUCGUUGCCGUUGGGUGAUGGAAGACAUGUUAAGGUAUUGUUUAAAGCAAAAUAAAAGUGGUUGAGAUCUUCCGGGCACCUUACAAGGGAUCUUCACGUUUAAAUUUUGGAAAUGAGUACUUUUAAUGUUAGUACGGCAAUGUUUUCAAUACAGUCCUGACCUUCAUUUUAUAUAAAGUCUUUCAUAAGCC